rnacentral:rRNA from 1 species
GACGAACGCUGGCGGCGUGCUAAACACAUGCAAGUCGAACGGUAAGGCCCUUCGGGGUACACGAGUGGCGAACGGGUGAGUAACACGUGGGUGAUCUGCCCUGCACUUCGGGAUAAGCCUGGGAAACUGGGUCUAAUACCGGAUAGGACCCUGGGAUGCAUGUCCUGGGGUGGAAAGCUUUUGCGGUGUGGGAUGGGCCCGCGGCCUAUCAGCUUGUUGGUGGGGUGGUGGCCUACCAAGGCGACGACGGGUAGCCGGCCUGAGAGGGUGACCGGCCACACUGGGACUGAGAUACGGCCCAGACUCCUACGGGAGGCAGCAGUGGGGAAUAUUGCACAAUGGGCGCAAGCCUGAUGCAGCGACGCCGCGUGAGGGAUGACGGCCUUCGGGUUGUAAACCUCUUUCAGCACCGACGAAGCGCAAGUGACGGUAGGUGCAGAAGAAGGACCGGCCAACUACGUGCCAGCCGCCGCAGUAA